UGCCGGCCAGGCAAACUGCAGCAGCAACGGUCUGUGAGGACACCCAGCUGGCUGGAGCCAUCACGGGAGCGACUCGGAGGUCCCAGCUCUGGGUGUGUGCCCAGCUCUGGGGACGGACAGGAUCCUGAGCGUGUGACCGGAAGAGCCUUGACUCAGCCCGCAGAUGUCAUCGUUUGUCUCCAGCUUCGUCACAGCAGCUGAUGUGCACUGAACACUCCCUGGCUCGAGCCGCGCUCUCCGCACGCAGAAGGUGUUGGAUUAGAUCAGUGAUCCUCAACUAGGAGCACUUCUGCCCCACCCAGGGGACAUGCAGCAUUGUCUGGAAGUGUGUUGGAAGCCACAACCAGAGGUCCUCCUGGCUAAACAUCCUACACCGCACGGAACAGAGCCAAGACAGCGAUCCUGCCCAACAUGUCAGCAGGCCUGCAGUUGAGAAGCCCUGGGGGGAAACUCAGGCCCAUCUCAAGUUGAAGGCACCAAGAUCACUGCCUGCCCUCAAUGGGUAGGACUGGGAAAAGUCUUCCUGCCACUGUCCCCGCUGCCUUCCUGGGUGAUCCAGUGAGAUUUAAUGGGAUUCCCUCAGAAGCCUCCUCUGAAAGCCUGCAGAGCGAGUGAGGAGCUUCUGGCCAAGCCUCAGGCACAGUCUGACCCUGGAAAGGAAGCACCCAUCCCUCCAGAGACGGCCUUGACCACGCACACGUGCCGCGGAGCUGGGCCCGUGCUCCUGAAGAACAGUCAGCAACACACUCCUCACUUCUCUCUAGUUUGCAUUUUUUCUUGUGAUUUUCCAAACCACACAGUUCUUGGGCAGCACAUUGAAGUGUUUAAAAAUGAGGCAAUAAAAAUAAAUCACUUGUUCUCGGAAGACA